CAACCUUGCGAUUGUUAUGUUAUUCAUAGAAAACAUCUAUGGCGGCUGGUUGUAUGUAAAUCUGUAAAUUUCGGCGAGAUAUUUAUUGUACUGUCUUACUUUGAAUCACAUUUCAUCAACCUAGAGUGAAAAUGAACAGAUCAUUCCGUGCAGAAACGAGAAGCAGAACCAAAGAUGAUGUCAAGCGUCUCAUGCACACCGUUGACAAAGUGCGAAAAUGGGAGAAGAAAUGGGUGGCAGUUAGUGACACUACCAUGAGGAUAUAUAAAUGGGUUCCUGUGUCCAUUGAGAAGAGGAAAAAGAAGUCCCUAGCCAACAAGGAAAAUCAGAGCACCAAGAAUAUUGAAACACCCAGUCCAUCGUUUUUGGGAGAGGAUUCAAACACAGGAUUUUCGGUGACAUCCGACUCGAUGGACACAGACUUCCAGCAGAUAAACUUCUCGGAGGAUUCCAACUCUCAGUCGAUGCCCGCGCCGGGUGGAGGAAAGCGGCCAUAGCGUGCCGCUCCAUCCCUACAACCGGUCAGCCAGCGGAGACUCUUACCGUACCAGUGACGGCCUCACGGCCGGGCUCUUAGCACCCGACCAACGUCCGGAUCAUGACGGCAUGGAAAUUGCAGCUGUUUUAUGCAGUCGCUACGUCGUUUUAUGGCGCGCUUGGCAUCGAUGAAGCAGCCCGCAUAGGGAAACGGAAGGUUGUCAGUGCAGCGAUCAUGUCAUCCCAUCGAGUGUUUGUGAAUGGCGCUAGGCUGCAGGUGCGUGUUUUACGCUGAUGACGGCCAUUUGAUCUGUUCCCGAUCUCAUCUGUCUGUCCCCUGUCUGGUCGGUUCAAGCCAGCCUGGAUUUGCUUCAGGGCUCGGUUAGUGUCAUCACAGAACGGCGACCAUCGAUUCCCUCACACAGUGCUCUCACGUCAUCUGUGUUUUAUGGUAACGGUCCUGGAUGCUCGCGAACGUCUUUUGAACGAGCACAGUCAUGUCAUAAAAUACAUCAAACGUUCAAAA
rnacentral:lncRNA from 1 species